rnacentral:rRNA from 1 species
GACGAACGCUGGCGGCGUGCCUAACACAUGCAAGUCGAACGGAGUUAAGCCCUUCGGGACUUAACUUAGUGGCGAACGGGUGAGUAACGCGUGAGAAACCUGCCUUUCAGUGGGGGACAACAGUUGGAAACGACUGCUAAUACCGCAUAAAGUUAUUUGGGGGCAUCCCCGGGUAACCAAAGAUUUAUCGCUGAAAGAUGGUCUCGCGUCUGAUUAGCUAGUUGGUGAGGUAACGGCCCACCAAGGCGACGAUCAGUAGCCGGACUGAGAGGUUGAACGGCCACAUUGGGACUGAGACACGGUCCAAACUCCUACGGGAGGCAGCAGUGGGGAAUAUUGCACAAUGGGGGAAACCCUGAUGCAGCGACGCCGCGUGAGUGAAGAAGUAUUUCGGUACGUAAAGCUCUAUCAGCAGGGAAGAAGAAAUGACGGUACCUGACUAAGAAGCCCCGGCUAACUACGUG